ensembl:snoRNA
AUCCUUUCGUGGUUUAUAAAUUGAUAAUUGGGUGUUCAUGCCAUUGUGUGAGAUAUGCCUUCCUCGAGCUUUAUGACAACAUCGUCACAGUACCCAUCUGAUG